rnacentral:rRNA from 1 species
GUCGGGAAUUUUGGGCAAUGGGCGAAAGCCUGACCCAGCAACGCCGCGUGAAGGAUGAAAUCCCUCGGGAUGUAAACUUCGCAAGAACAGGAAGAAUAAGUAAGAGUUAAUAUCUCUUAUGAUGACGGUACUGUUUGUAAGCUCCGGCUAACUCCGUGCCAGCAGCCGCGGUAAUACGGGGGGAGCAAGCGUUGUUCGGAUUUACUGGGCGUAAAGGGCGCGUAGGCGGCCACCGCAAGUCGGUUGUGAAAUCUCCGGGCUUAACCCGGAAAGGUCAACCGAUACUGCGGGGCUAGAGUGCAGAAGGGGCAACUGGAAUUCUCGGUGUAGCGGUGAAAUGCGUAGAUAUCGAGAGGAACACCUGCGGCGAAGGCGGGUUGCUGGGCUGACACUGACGCUGAAGCGCGAAAGCUAGGGGAGCGAACGGGAUUAGAUACCCCAGUAGUCC